rnacentral:rRNA from 1 species
UACGGAGGGUGCAAGCGUUGUCCGGAUUUAUUGGGUUUAAAGGGUGCGUAGGCGGCCUGAUAAGUCAGCGGUGAAAUACCCAGGCUCAACCUGGGGGGUGCCGUUGAUACUGUUAGGCUUGAGUACGUUCCGUGUACAUGGAAUUUAUGGUGUAGCGGUGAAAUGCAUAGAUACCAUAAGGAACACCGAUAGCGAAGGCAUUGUACAGGGGCGUAACUGACGCUGAUGCACGAAAGCGUGGGUAGCGAACAGG